rnacentral:rRNA from 1 species
GUCGAACGCUGGCGGCGUGCCUAAUACAUGCAAGUCGAACGAGUGGCGGACGGGUGCGUACUGUAUGUGGUUCUGCCUGAUGGAGGGGGAUAACUACUGGAAACGGUAGCUAAUACCGCAUACCAUCAGAUGAACCCAUAUGGGCUUAGCGUGUAGGGUAGGCACCGGCUCACCUAGGCGACGAUCCCGAGCUGGUCUGAGAGGAUGAUCAGCCACACUGGGACUGAGACACGGCCCAGACUCCUACGGGAGGCAGCAGUGGGGAAUAUUGCACAAUGGGCGCAAGCCUGAUGCAGCCAUGCCGCGUGUAUGAAGAAGGCCUUCGGGUUGUAAAGUACUUUCAGUCGGGAGGCGUUACCGGCAGAAGAAGCACCGGCUAACUCCGUGCCAGCAGCCGCGGUAAUAC